rnacentral:rRNA from 1 species
AGUGAACGCUGGCGGUAGGCCUAACACAUGCAAGUCGAACGGCAGCACAGUAAGAGCUUGCUCUUACGGGUGGCGAGUGGCGGACGGGUGAGGAAUACAUCGGAACCUACUUUUUCGUGGGGGAUAACGUAGGGAAACUUACGCUAAUACCGCAUACGACCUACGGGUGAAAGCAGGGGAUCUUCGGACCUUGCGCGAUUGAAUGAGCCGAUGUCGGAUUAGCUAGUUGGCGGGGUAAAGGCCCACCAAGGCGACGAUCCGUAGCUGGUCUGAGAGGAUGAUCAGCCACACUGGAACUGAGACACGGUCCAGACUCCUACGGGAGGCAGCAGUGGGGAAUAUUGGACAAUGGGCGCAAGCCUGAUCCAGCCAUACCGCGUGGGUGAAGAAGGCCUUCGGGUUGUAAAGCCCUUUUGUUGGGAAAGAAAAGCAGCAGGUUAAUACCCCGCUGUUCUGACGGUACCCAAAGAAUAAGCACCGGCUAACUUCGU